rnacentral:rRNA from 1 species
UACGAAGGGGGCUAGCGUUGUUCGGAAUUACUGGGCGUAAAGCGCACGUAGGCGGCUUUGUAAGUUAGAGGUGAAAGCCCGGGGCUCAACUCCGGAAUUGCCUUUAAGACUGCAUCGCUAGAAUUAUGGAGAGGUAAGUGGAAUUCCGAGUGUAGAGGUGAAAUUCGUAGAUAUUCGGAAGAACACCAGUGGCGAAGGCGACUUACUGGACACAUAUUGACGCUGAGGUGCGAAAGCGUGGGGAGCAAACAGG